rnacentral:rRNA from 1 species
GACGAACGCUGGCGGCGUGCCUAAUACAUGCAAGUAGAACGCACAGUUUAUACCGUAGCUUGCUACACCAUAGACUGUGAGUUGCGAACGGGUGAGUAACGCGUAGGUAACCUGCCUGGUAGCGGGGGAUAACUAUUGGAAACGAUAGCUAAUACCGCAUCAUAUUGAUUAUUGCAUGAUAAUUGAUUGAAAGAUGCUAUUGCAUCACUACCAGAUGGACCUGCGUUGUAUUAGCUAGUAGGUGAGGUAACGGCUCACCUAGGCGACGAUACAUAGCCGACCUGGGAGGGAGGACGGCCAAACUGGGACUGAGACACGGCUCAGACUCCUUCGGGAGGCAGCAGUAGGGAAUCUUCGGACAUGGACGAAAGGCUGACCGAGGAACGCCGCGGGAGUGAAGAAGGGUUUCGGAUCGUAAAGCUCUGUUGUAAGGGAAGAACGGGUGUGAGAGUGGAAAGUUCACACUGUGACGGUAUCUUAACAGAAAGGGACGGCUAACUACGUG